UUUAAGCAGAUCUAAGUCUAACCCAAUUUUACUGUUUAAAAGGCUUGCUUGCAGUGCCUACGAGCUUUCGGCUUUGGCACUAUUAAGGAUCUUUCGGAUUGAAUAGAAAACACGCAAAGUGCUCCCAUCAAAGGGUUUUCACUGCCUCAUUUUGUUUCUCGUAGUUCGCGGUGAACUUAGUUGACCAGAGCUUGACAAUUGGCAGAAAAUUGUUUCGAAGUCUCUGUCUGGUGCGAUGGUUUACAUAACUGAGUGGGACAAAUUUGUGGAGCAAUCCAUUCAAUUGUUUCGUGCUGAUCCUGACUCUUGGUGCUCCUGGACUCUUUGGGCUGUUUGAAUUGAAGCUGAUUAACAUUUGGGCCACUGCUGCCACGCUUGAAGUUGGUGCUGAUGCCACUGAAUUGGGCCGUCUUAAGCUGGGCCGCGAGGAAGCUUUCUGCACCGCUGCUGGAAUGCACUGAAUUGGCGCUGCUGUCAUAGACUGGGUUGAUUGCACAAGUUGGGUCUGCAACUUUAGCUAAACGGUGCGCACAAGCAGCAGCUGCCUUAUGGGUCUCUUCCCCUCGUUUUCAUUUGAAGAAAGAACCCAAAGCUAGGGCAAUGCUAAAGGUGAGAGAGGAAAGCUCCCAAUGUUCAAGCCAUUUACCCAGUGCUCCAAACGUCACUGACCGGUGGAGAAGAAGAGCUGACCGGAGCUGCCACGUGGAUAGGAUCGACGGUCAGAGUAAAGCAACGAACCUCGUACUUCUUGAAUGGCUUCUCUUGUGAUGUUCCUCUCUUUUAAUAGGGUAAACUUAGUUGACCACAGCUUGACAAUUGGCAGAAAAUUGUUUCGAAGUCUCUGUCUGGUGCGAUGGUUUACAUUACUGAGUGGGACAAAUUCGUGGAGCAAUCCAUUCAGUUGUUCCGUGCUGAUUCUGAUUCUGUAAUUCUGUACCUACAAUUUUUCUCGUUUCUUAAAGUAGAAGCCUGACAAACUUCAUUCAGACUUUUGUUUUAUUUUACUGUUAUAAAAGCUUUUAAUUGGUAUAUUUGCUCUGUUUUCAUAUUCAGUUGUGCAAUAUUCAAUUAAUUUUUUAUAAUUCAGUUUCUUGAUUGUCCAAGUUAUCGAACUUGUCCUUCUUGUUCUAUUAAAACGUACUGAAAAUGAAAUUUCUUCUUCAAUUGUAUUUAGAACAAACACGGUAUGUCAUGAAGUACAGGCACUGUGAUGGCAAGUUGGUACUUAAGGUCACUGAUAACCGAUUGAAAUGUUUUCAGAGAGAGAAGGUGGAGAACAUUUCACGGAGCACCGAACCUUCGAACCUUCGAGCCAGCCACCACAACUCUCGCUGGAUAUCCGCCGCCCGUAGACGUUGUCGUUGCCAUUUUCGCUCCAUCCAGUGCCGUCGUAGUGCCGUCGGUGUCCGUCGUCUUCCACCCAGCCAGGCAGUUCGGAUUGCGGGUCGCCGCAGCUCCGGCGUCGGCAGACGAAUCGAAGACGGCAUCGUCUUCCCUCCGGCCUAGCCAACCAAGGGCGCAUUUUGAGUAUCGAUUCCUCCCACCCGCUUCCUUCCCUGUGCCGGACCCUUGCGGUGGCCGCCGGAGCAUCGCCGGAGUGUCGUCGAAGUGUCGGCGGACCCUUUCAAGGAGACUAGAAAUGAACAAAUUAUCUGAGGAUGUGUCUUCGUUUGUAAAUUGCCUUAGUCUUUCUUUGAUUUGGUGUUAUUCCCACAAGCAAUAAUUUUUCAAGGUUUUCUCCUGUUUCAUUGGAAACCCUGGUCUAUGUGGCUAUUGGCUGGAUUCAUCUUGUCAAGGGUCUCACCCUACCGAGCGAGGUGAGAGAAGGUCAAACGCAAGAGAGUACAAGCAACAAAAGAAUCUGGUAGCAAACCGCAAGAUGCUAUUAAGCAGAACCAACAAUAGCCAGAUAUGACUGAACUCGCCAAGGGUCUCCCAAGUAAUUGGCAGCAUUCCCAAUUGGAUCCAUCAGACGUCCUUCAUCUGAAACAAACUGAGCUCAAUGCAUUUCUAGAAGGCUUGUAUCCAACGCCAACAAACCGAAUAAACACUUCGUCCAUACCGGUCAUUCCACCGAACCCCAUUGAAGACAACAAAAUAGAGGACAUACUAAGGAAGCUUGUUAAUUCCUCAUGCCAACGUUAUCUUUCUCUAACAUUGUAACUCAUCCAUUGCUCCAAGUUAAGGUGCAAAGAAAGACUAAUGUCUAAAGACAAACUUCCUAUAUCAAUGGAAAUUUUCUUUAUUUAGU